AUUUUGAGUCGUGGAGAGAGGUGGAAACAACACCGCAGAUUUACCCUGAUGACCCUAAGGAACUUUGGGAUGGGGAAGAGAAGCGUUGAAGAGCGAGUUCAAGAAGAAGCCCAAUGCCUGGUGGAGGAGCUCAGGAAAACAAAGGGUCAGCCCACUGAUCCCACCUUCAUCCUUAGCUG